CUCUGUGGGAGGGAGAGAGCCCCCAUGGUCCCUGGGCUCCUCCAGCCACCACUCCAGGGAUGUUGCACAGGGCCUGCAAAGUGGGUGGAGAGUGACCAGAGCCAGUCCAGAGCUCCCCAGGCCCGUGUGCUGCUUUGGCCUUGUCCACUGACAACUGGCAGCCAAGGCCUUACCCGACCCCCUUGCAGUGCCCAGUUCUCUAAGGCAGAGGAGGAUCCCAGCACACCAUGGAAAUGGGUCUGAUCUGAUCUGUGCUCCCCUCUAGAUGAGCAUGCUAGGAAGGCUUCUCCAGCAGCUUGGCUUAAUGAUGAUUUCCAGGGUCUUAACCCUCCACCAGGUGUGUCUGCAGGAAAGACUUUUCAGGCUCCUUUCCUGGUUGCUGCACACAAGCCCCGCUCCCAUGGCAGGGGUGAGUAGUGUGUGACUGCUGACCCCGCAGGCUGAGCCCUGGUUCAGUGGGAUCCAUUCACCUGAAAUGCAAAUGCUUUUAUUAAGGUCCUCCGAGAAGGAGGAACAAACCUGGAGGAGACAGGAAGUCCCUGGAGGCAUCCAAACACAUGCACAGGAUCUGGAGUGACCUGGAGAGACAACGUGACAUGGAAGGAGAGAGUGUGCUGACAGCUGCAUUUCCCGGAGGAAGCAGUGGCUCCAUGGCAGCCUCUGCCCCAGGAAGGGAGGCGAUGCCAGGCAAAGGCCCCAGAG